rnacentral:rRNA from 1 species
GCAUAUCAAUAAGCGGAGGAAAAGAAACCAACAGGGAUUGCCCUAGUAACGGCGAGUGAAGCGGCAAAAGCUCAAAUUUGAAAUCCUGCGGGAAUUGUAAUUUGAAGGUUUCGUGGUCUGAGUCGGCCGCGCCCAAGUCCAUUGGAACAUGGCGCCUGGGAGGGUGAGAGCCCCGUAUGGCGCACGCCGACUCUUUGCACCGCGGCUCCGACGAGUCGAGUUGUUUGGGAAUGCAGCUCUAAGUGGGUGGUAAAUUCCAUCUAAAGCUAAAUAUUGGCGAGAGACCGAUAGCGAACAAGUACAGUGAUGGAAAGAUGAAAAGCACUUUGAAAAGAGAGUGAAACAGCACGUGAAAUUGUUGAAAGGGAAGGGCUUGCAAGCAGACACGGUUUUACCGGGCCAGCGUCGAAAAGGGGGGAGGAACAAGAACUCGAGAAUGUGGCGCGCACCUUCGGGCGCGCGUGUUAUAGCUCGUGUUGACGCCUCCAUCCCUUUUCGAGGCCUGCGAUUCUAGGACGCUGGCGUAAUGGUUGCAAGCCGCCCGUCUUGAAACACGGACC